GCCAGUGUGGCAUAGUGGCUUGAGCAUUGGACUAUGAAUCUGGAACAAGGGUUCAAAAACCAGCUUUGACU